rnacentral:rRNA from 1 species
GAUGAACGCUGGCGGCGUGCCUAAUACAUGCAAGUCGAGCGAACAGACGAGGAGCUUGCUCCUUUGACGUUAGCGGCGGACGGGUGAGUAACACGUGGAUAACCUACCUAUAAGACUGGGAUAACUUCGGGAAACCGGAGCUAAUACCGGAUAAUAUAUUGAACCGCAUGGUUCAAUAGUGAAAGACGGUUUUGCUGUCACUUAUAGAUGGAUCCGCGCCGCAUUAGCUAGUUGGUAAGGUAACGGCUUACCAAGGCAACGAUGCGUAGCCGACCUGAGAGGGUGAUCGGCCACACUGGAACUGAGACACGGUCCAGACUCCUACGGGAGGCAGCAGUAGGGAAUCUUCCGCAAUGGGCGAAAGCCUGACGGAGCAACGCCGCGUGAGUGAUGAAGGUCUUCGGAUCGUAAAACUCUGUUAUUAGGGAAGAACAAAUGUGUAAGUAACUAUGCACGUCUUGACGGUACCUAAUCAGAAAGCCACGGCUAACUACGU